UUAUUUGUAUUUGUUAAGUUACUUUCCUCUUAAAUUGUUCAUUUUUAUAGUUAGAGUUUCACACUGUGUUUGUUCUGAAUUCAAAAAAGGAAUAACACCGUCUUACAAAUAUUUGUUUUCUACGUGGGGCAGCAGUUUUAGGUUAAGGUUCAAAAUUGUGGUACGUUUUAACAGAUAUUUGGUCUGAUGUGUGUGACAUUAAUCUUGGUGAAAGCAAAAUAAUUAACAUUCAUUCUCUUUUGACCUAAAAUGACUAAGAAGUGGCUUUUUUAUCAUUCAAACUUAAGUUUAGGAAUAAAAGAGAAGUGAUGAAGUUGGCAGCCAUGCAGGGUGUUACAGUAUAUUGUGUAGUGCCCUGUGUCAGCAGGGUUAGGCUCCUGCUCUCUGUGAUACUCUGUAGUAAUUUGUAGUUUUGGAUAAUGUAUGAAGAAAUGAUAAAAGUAUUUUAAAUUCUUUACAAGUGACUUUAAUUUUAGAGUGCUGUAAAAAAAACAUUUUGCAUGUUAGCAUGUUAUUUUUGAGUAAUAUUAAUGCCAGCACUAUAUCCACAGAUCAUUCCUACAUUUCUCAAGAAUUUUGUGUACAAUUAAAUUUUCUCAGAGAGUAACAAUCGACAACUUGUAAUGAAGUAUGGCAUAUCUCGCUUUCAUGGUUUUUGUCCUUGUAAAAAAAAGUAUAAUUUAAGUGUAAUACUAUCACAUAAAUACCAGUGGUUAGUUAUUUAUAUUAUAAGAAAUUCCCUUUUAAUCAAAGUUUUAUGAAAUUAUUAACCUAUAUAUAACCUAUAUGUAGUAUAUUUAGUAAACAUUAUGGAGCAAAUUCCAUAAUAUGUGACAUAUUUCAAUGGGCAUCAGCCAUUAUGCAUAUAAACCUCUGUAAUCUAGAGUCUCGUUUUGCAGGGAAAAUCAGACUAGUCUUUGUCUCUUCUACCCAGCCUGCUCAGCGCACAUUUGCAAUGAAAGCACAGAUCUGGAGCACAAGGGGCCAGAAGACGUUCGUACUGUAAUAGCAACAAGGCCGAGGCCGAACAGCAGAGGGACUUUUACGCUGAAAGGUAUGAGUUUCUACGAUCUAGUGGCAAACCUGAAGAUGAAACUUCCAGGAUGUCUCAUGUGACCUUGCCCAGCUGACCGCAGUUCGUAAAGAGGCGGCCCCUCACACCCGCAGCCUGCUGUUCCAGUCAGUCACAGAAUAAGCUUCGCCAACACGCGGACUGACCACGCGGACAAGAACAUUGCUGUGGUGCUCCAAACCAGUGGAGUCCGAGACCAUUGGGGAGACCCUGACUGACUUUCCCAGCUUCCUUCACUCUUCAGGCUAGCUGGUCCUUAUUGACCACAAUGCCCGGUGUCUCAGCUGCCCCAGUCUCCCCAGGUCCCUCCCAAGUAUUGGUCCGAGGGAAGAAUUUGAGCCUGUCAUUUCUUGUUUCUUGGAUACACAUCCCUUAGCGAAGGUCACUCCUGCAUUCUGCAUUCAAGAUCAGCACUCUGGAGAAGAUUAAUCUUAAGAAAAGCUGUCAAUCACACAGAGCUCUUACAGGACCUUCUGGUUUGGAAAGCUCUUCAGUCAUAUGAACCCCACAAAAGAGUAGAUGCCCUGACUUCUCUCAUUUGUAUAGUGGCCAGUCUUUGCAUGUAUCCUCAGAGGAGAAACACGUGUCCGAGACAGCAGCUCAGAGGCUGAGUGAACAUGGGACUACCUCUGAGCCUCUAAAGGAGCAUUACUGAAUGACUGUAACCAAGGCUAAAAUAUGUUCUAGGGAGUAGGUUAAAAAUUAAAACAGUUUUUCCCUGGAAAGGUACAAGCUGGAGCAACACUCGAAAAAUUUAAAAUAUAAACUUUGACAUUUUUUAGAAGCCCGUUUUUUUAUAAUUUUCAUUGCAAAGCAACAAUAUUACAGUCUAGCUGAGAGGUCAUUUUCAAGUGUAAGUUUAAUUAUAAAUCUGUAGACAGAAAACUAGUAGGUGAAGUAUUUUAAGGUCAUUUAUACAUGUUUUCUUAAACUUGGAGUUUUGAUAUUCUUUAUAAUUCUUUGACUUAUUGUUUCUGUUCAGUUCUCUCUGUCUGGCAGUCUUAGGAAUACUGUGUGAGCAAACUGAGCUAAUGGGGCCAGAAAGAAAGGCUUUAUGACCAAAAGGGGUUUAUUUGCUUACAGUGUAUUCAGUAGGUCAUUGGUACAGAACAUCAGUUCUAUAGAGC